rnacentral:rRNA from 1 species
UGGUGCUUGCAUCAUGAUUUACAUUUGAGUGAGUGGCGAACUGGUGAGUAACACGUGGGAAACCUGCCCAGAAGCGGGGGAUAACACCUGGAAACAGAUGCUAAUACCGCAUAACAACUUGGACCGCAUGGUCCGAGYUUGAAAGAUGGCUUCGGCUAUCACUUUUGGAUGGUCCCGCGGCGUAUUAGCUAGAUGGUGRGGUAACGGCUCACCAUGGCAAUGAUACGUAGCCGACCUGAGAGGGUAAUCGGCCACAUUGGGACUGAGACACGGCCCAAACUCCUACGGGAGGCAGCAGUAGGGAAUCUUCCACAAUGGACGAAAGUCUGAUGGAGCAACGCCGCGUGAGUGAAGAAGGGUUUCGGCUCGUAAAACUCUGUUGUUAAAGAAGAACAUAUCUGAGAGUAACUGUUCAGGUAUUGACGGUAUUUAACCAGAAAGCCACGGCUAACUACGUGCCAGCAGCCGCGGUAAUACGUAGGUGGCAAGCGUUGUCCGGAUUUAUUGGGCGUAAAGCGAGCGCAGGCGGUUUUUUAAGUCUGAUGUGAAAGCCUUCGGCUCAACCGAAGAAGUGCAUCGGAAACUGGGAAACUUGAGUGCAGAAGAGGACAGUGGAACUCCAUGUGUAGCGGUGAAAUGCGUAGAUAUAUGGAAGAACACCAGUGGCGAAGGCGGCUGUCUGGUCUGUAACUGACGCUGAGGCUCGAAAGUAUGGGUAGCAAACAGGAUUAGAUACCCUGGUAGUCCAUACCGUAAACGAUGAAUGCUAAGUGUUGGAGGGUUUCCGCCCUUCAGUGCUGCAGCUAACGCAUUAAGCAUUCCGCCUGGGGAGUACGGCCGCAAGGCUGAAACUCAAAGGAAUUGACGGGGGCCCGCACAAGCGGUGGAGCAUGUGGUUUAAUUCGAAGCUACGCGAAGAACCUUACCAGGUCUUGACAUACUAUGCAAAUCUAAGAGAUUAGACGUUCCCUUCGGGGACAUGGAUACAGGUGGUGCAUGGUUGUCGUCAGCUCGUGUCGUGAGAUGUUGGGUUAAGUCCCGCAACGAGCGCAACCCUUAUUAUCAGUUGCCAGCAUUAAGUUGGGCACUCUGGUGAGACUGCCGGUGACAACCGGAGGAAGGUGGGGAUGACGUCAAAUCAUCAUGCCCCUUAUGACCUGGGCUAC